rnacentral:rRNA from 1 species
UACGGGGGGGGUAAGCGUUGUUCGGAAUUACUGGGCGUAAAGGGCGCGUAGGCGGUCAGCACAAGUCAGUUGUGAAAUCUCCGGGCUUAACUCGGAAAGGUCAACUGAUACUGUGCGACUAGAGUGCGGAAGGGGCAACUGGAAUUCUCGGUGUAGCGGUGAAAUGCGUAGAUAUCGAGAGGAACACCUGCGGCGAAGGCGGGUUGCUGGGCCGACACUGACGCUGAUGCGCGAAAGCGUGGGGAGCGAACAGG